rnacentral:rRNA from 1 species
GAACCUCGAGUGCCAGGUUACAAAUCUGGCUGUCGAGAUGCCUAAAAAGCAUUUCAUAGCAAGGGCCGGGCAAGACCGGUGCCAGCCGCCGCGGUAACACCGGCGGCUCGAGUGGUAACCGUUAUUAUUGGGUCUAAAGGGUCUGUAGCCGGCCGGAUAAGUCUCUUGAGAAAUCUGGCAGCUUAACUGUCAGGCUUUCAGGAGAUACUGUCUGGCUCGAGGCCGGGAGAGGUGAGAGGUACUUCAGGGGUAGGGGUGAAAUCUUGUAAUCCUUGAAGGACCACCAGUGGCGAAGGCGUCUCACCAGAACGGACCUGACGGCAAGGGACGAAAGCUAGGGGCACGAACCGGAUUAGAUACCCGGGUAGUCCUAGCCGUAAACGAUACUCGCUAGGUGUCGGCCACGGUGCGACCGUUGUCGGUGCCGUAGGGAAGCCGUGAAGCGA